GAUGAACCCUUCUUAGAGGCUUAACACAUGCAAGUCGAGGGGCAGCAUGGUCUUUGCUUGCUAAGGCCGAUGGCGACCGGCGCACGGGUGAGUAACACGUAUCCAACCUGCCGUCUACUCUUGGACAGCCUUCUGAAAGGAAGAUUAAUACAAGAUGGCAUCAUGAGUCCGCAUGUUCACAUGAUUAAAGGUAUUCCGGUAGACGAUGGGGAUGCGUUCCAUUAGAUAGUAGGCGGGGUAACGGCCCACCUAGUCUUCGAUGGAUAGGGGUUCUGAGAGGAAGGUCCCCCACAUUGGAACUGAGACACGGUCCAAACUCCUACGGGAGGCAGCAGUGAGGAAUAUUGGUCAAUGGGCGAGAGCCUGAACCAGCCAAGUAGCGUGAAGGAUGACUGCCCUAUGGGUUGUAAACUUCUUUUAUAAAGGAAUAAAGUCGGGUAUGGAUACCCGUUUGCAUGUACUUUAUGAAUAAGGAUCGGCUAACUCCGUGCCAGCAGCCGCGGUAAUACGGAGGAUCCGAGCGUUAUCCGGAUUUAUUGGGUUUAAAGGGAGCGUAGAUGGAUGUUUAAGUCAGUUGUGAAAGUUUGCGGCUCAACCGUAAAAUUGCAGUUGAUACUGGAUAUCUUGAGUGCAGUUGAGGCAGGCGGAAUUCGUGGUGUAGCGGUGAAAUGCUUAGAUAUCACGAAGAACUCCGAUUGCGAAGGCAGCCUGCUAAGCUGCAACUGACAUUGAGGCUCGAAAGUGUGGGUAUCAAACAGGAUUAGAUACCCUGGUAGUCCACACGGUAAACGAUGAAUACUCGCUGUUUGCGAUAUACUGCAAGCGGCCAAGCGAAAGCGUUAAGUAUUCCACCUGGGGAGUACGCCGGCAACGGUGAAACUCAAAGGAAUUGACGGGGGCCCGCACAAGCGGAGGAACAUGUGGUUUAAUUCGAUGAUACGCGAGGAACCUUACCCGGGCUUAAAUUGCAGAUGAAUUACGGUGAAAGCCGUAAGCCGCAAGGCAUCUGUGAAGGUGCUGCAUGGUUGUCGUCAGCUCGUGCCGUGAGGUGUCGGCUUAAGUGCCAUAACGAGCGCAACCCUUGUUGUCAGUUACUAACAGGUUCCGCUGAGGACUCUGACAAGACUGCCAUCGUAAGAUGUGAGGAAGGUGGGGAUGACGUCAAAUCAGCACGGCCCUUACGUCCGGGGCUACACACGUGUUACAAUGGGGGGUACAGAGGGCCGCUACCACGCGAGUGGAUGCCAAUCCCCAAAACCUCUCUCAGUUCGGACUGGAGUCUGCAACCCGACUCCACGAAGCUGGAUUCGCUAGUAAUCGCGCAUCAGCCACGGCGCGGUGAAUACGUUCCCGGGCCUUGUACGCACCGCCCGUCAAGCCAUGGGAGCCGGGGGUACCUGAAGUGCGUAACCGCGAGGAGCGCCCUAGGGUAAAACUGGUGACUGGGGCU
rnacentral:rRNA from 1 species